rnacentral:tRNA from 1 species
GGGGUAUUAGUCUAACUGGAUAAAACAUCACUCUCCUAAAGUGAAUUUCUCCGUUCGAGUCGGGGAUGCCCCACCA